UGGGGAAUAUUGGACAAUGGGCGAAAGCCUGAUCCAGCCAUGCCGCGUGUGUGAAGAAGGUCUUCGGAUUGUAAAGCACUUUAAGUUGGGAGGAAGGGCAUUAACCUAAUACGUUAGUGUUUUGACGUUAUCGACAGAAUAAGCACCGGCUAACUCUGUGCCAGCAGCCGCGGUAAUACAGAGGGUGCAAGCGUUAAUCGGAAUUACUGGGCGUAAAGCGCGCGUAGGUGGUUUGUUAAGUUGGAUGUGAAAUCCCCGGGCUCAACCUGGGAACUGCAUUCAAAACUGACUGACUAGAGUAUGGUAGAGGGUGGUGGAAUUUCCUGUGUAGCGGUGAAAUGCGUAGAUAUAGGAAGGAACACCAGUGGCGAAGGCGACCACCUGGACUAAUACUGACACUGAGGUGCGAAAGCGUGGGGAGCAAACA
rnacentral:rRNA from 1 species